UCCUGGAAACGGGUGGUAAUGCCGGAUGCUCCAGUUGAUCGCAUGGUCUUCUGGGAAAGCUUUCGCGGUAUGGGAUGGGGUCGCGUCCUAUCAGCUUGACGGCGGGGUAACGGCCCACCGUGGCUUCGACGGGUAGCCGGCCUGAGAGGGCGACCGGCCACAUUGGGACUGAGAUACGGCCCAGACUCCUACGGGAGGCAGCAGUGGGGAAUAUUGCACAAUGGGCGCAAGCCUGAUGCAGCGACGCCGCGUGAGGGAUGGAGGCCUUCGGGUUGUAAACCUCUUUUAUCGGGGAGCAAGCGAGAGUGAGUUUACCCGUUGAAUAAGCACCGGCUAACUACGUGCCAGCAGCCGCGGUAAUACGUAGGGUGCAAGCGUUAUCCGGAAUUAUUGGGCGUAAAGGGCUCGUAGGCGGUUCGUCGCGUCCGGUGUGAAAGUCCAUCGCUUAACGGUGGAUCCGCGCCGGGUACGGGCGGGCUUGAGUGCGGUAGGGGAGACUGGAAUUCCCGGUGUAACGGUGGAAUGUGUAGAUAUCG
rnacentral:rRNA from 1 species